rnacentral:rRNA from 1 species
GAAAGAUUUUUCGGUUGGGGAUGGGCUCGCGGCCUAUCAGCUUGUUGGUGAGGUAAUGGCUCACCAAGGCGUCGACGGGUAGCCGGCCUGAGAGGGUGACCGGCCACACUGGGACUGAGACACGGCCCAGACUCCUACGGGAGGCAGCAGUGGGGAAUAUUGCACAAUGGGCGGAAGCCUGAUGCAGCAACGCCGCGUGAGGGAUGACGGCCUUCGGGUUGUAAACCUCUUUUAGCAGGGAAGAAGCGAAAGUGACGGUACCUGCAGAAAAAGCGCCGGCUAACUACGUGCCAGCAGCCGCGGUAAUACGUAGGGCGCAAGCGUUAUCCGGAAUUAUUGGGCGUAAAGAGCUCGUAGGCGGUUUGUCGCGUCUGCUGUGAAAUCCCGAGGCUCAACCUCGGGCCUGCAGUGGGUACGGGCAGACUAGAGUGCGGUAGGGGAGAUUGGAAUUCCUGGUGUAGCGGUGGAAUGCGCAGAUAUCAGGAGGAACACCGAUGGCGAAGGCAGAUCUCUGGGCCGUAACUGACGCUGAGGAGCGAAAGGGUGGGGAGCAAACAGGCUUAGAUACCCUGGUAGUCCACCCCGUAAACGUUGGGAACUAGUUGUGGGGUCCAUUCCACGGAUUCCGUGACGCAGCUAACGCAUUAAGUUCCCCGCCUGGGGAGUACGGCCGCAAGGCUAAAACUCAAAGGAAUUGACGGGGACCCGCACAAGCGGCGGAGCAUGCGGAUUAAUUCGAUGCAACGCGAAGAACCUUACCAAGGCUUGACAUAUACGAGAACGGGCCAGAAAUGGUCAACUCUUUGGACACUCGUAAACAGGUGGUGCAUGGUUGUCGUCAGCUCGUGUCGUGAGAUGUUGGGUUAAGUCCCGCAACGAGCGCAACCCUCGUUCUAUGUUGCCAGCACGUAAUGGUGGGAACUCAUGGGAUACUGCCGGGGUCAACUCGGAGGAAGGUGGGGAUGACGUCAAAUCAUCAUGCCCCUUAUGUCUUGGGCUUCACGCAUGCUACAAUGGCCGGUACAAAGGGCUGCAAUACCGUGAGGUGGAGCGAAUCCCAAAAAGCCGGUCCCAGUUCGGAUUGAGGUCUGCAACUCGACCUCAUGAAGUCGGAGUCGCUAGUAAUCGCAGAUCAGCAACGCUGCGGUGAAUACGUUCCCGGGUCUUGUACACACCGCCCGUCAAGUCAUGAAAGUCGGUAACACCUGAAGCCGGUGGCCUAACCCUUGUGGAGGGAGCCGUCGAAG